AAGCGCAGUAAUGCGUUAAGCUAACCGAUACUAAUUGCUCGUGAGGCUUGAUCCU
rnacentral:rRNA from 1 species